rnacentral:rRNA from 1 species
UUUUCAGGUUGACCUCGGAUCAGGUAGGAAUACCCGCUGAACUUAAGCAUAUCAAUAAGCGGAGGAA